rnacentral:rRNA from 1 species
GACGAACCGUGCGAACGUUGUUCGGAAUCACUGGGCUUAAAGGGCGCGUAGGCGGGCGGCCGCGUCCGGGGUGAAAUCCCGCCGCUCAACGGCGGAACGGCCUCGGAUACGGGCGGCCUCGAGGGGGGUAGGGGCGUGCGGAACUCUGGGUGGAGCGGUGAAAUGCGUUGAUAUCCAGAGGAACUCCGGUGGCGAAGGCGGCGACGCUGGACCCCUUCUGACGCUGAGGCGCGAAAGCCAGGGAAGCGAACGGG